GCCAAGGCAAGAACAAAAGGGAAAAAGCAUAGAACAAACCCUAGAGAAAAAAAUCAAGAGAAAAUUCAUUGGAUUUCAAGGAAUUAAGCAAGUAAAGGUAAAAUUUCUUAAUUCUAGCUUGUGAUCUACCUUUCCUAUGCAUUCUUUUAAAAUUACCAUGGUUAAAAUUCAAGAUCUCAUGAAGGAUUCAUGGCUGAUUGAAUUUUGGGAGAGAAGAUUUGAUGAUUUAUAUGGUUAGAUUUCAAGGUAUCUUAGUGUUUUUAGUUGUUUGGUGAUGUUUAGCAUGAAAAACAAGCAAGAAAUUUCAUGCCCUUCACCCACACUCCUUGGCUGAAAUUUUCAAGAGAGAAAUUGGAUAAUGGACUUUGAUGAAUUUCAUGCUAUUUAGGUGUUUUUAGUUGUUUUAUGAUGUAAGGUGUAAAAAUCAAGCAUGAAAAUUACAUGUUCUACACUAAACCUUCAAUGGUCGAAUUUUACAAGGAAGAUAUUGAUGAUGGAUUUUUGUGAUAUUACAUAUUAUUUAACUUGUAAUUGAUGACUUGGAGUGUUGGAAGUGGAAUCAAGUUAAUUGGAGUUGAAUUGGAUGUAUUGGCCAAUUAACUGGUGUAUAGAUCGAAUUAGGCCAAUACCAUUUUAUUUCUAUACAUAAUUGAAGCUACGUAGAACAACAUAUUCAGAUAAUAAUCUGAACAUUUUGCAUCCCAUUUCAUGCAUUCAUAUAGAGCCUAAAUUAGUCUUAUAACGGUUUAGUACAAAUAUAGUAAAUUGCUUAUUGUGCAUUAUGUUUAGGUGGUGAAACUUCCGAUAAGGGUAACGAGAUUGUACUCGAAGAUCGGGACUAAGAGUACUUCAACUCCCGAUAUUGUGAGUAACCUUAUUAUCGUCUUAGUUAUCUAAAAUAGUUUUUAUUCGUUUUUGUGAUUUUAUAGAAAAAUGAGUUUAAAUGGUAAAUCCUUAUGUUUUAUAAGUAAAAUGUGAUUAAAUGAAAUGAAUUUUAUAAAUCAUUUUGAAAUUGAAUGAUGAUUUUAGAAAUUGAGUAGUUAGAGACUGUUUGAUUGUGUUGUAAAUUUAUGGUUUGAAUUGAAUGGCUUAUGGUGAUAUUGGCAUGAAUGGAUAAAUUGGAAAUUGUGUUGAAAAUGUAUGAAUUGUUUGUUUUGCCUUAACAGGAUGGGUAGUAAUAUAAUUGCCAUGUCAUGCUGUUGAAACUUUUAUUGAUUUGGUGGAAUAUUGAUUAGUCACUCUAGUGGCGGGUUUUCGUGGACCAGCCUAUUAGAGAGGGGCAUGGUAAACUCGAUUAUAUUUUACCUCGGUACGAGAGGCGCGGAGGGUAUCUCCUGAGAAAAAGCUUUAGAGUUUACUACACGCUAAACCACCACGUGAGGGUGAACUCAGCCAACACCAAGGAAUGGCUAUGCUUUUAAACGUAAAAAUGUGUUUUAAGCGUAUGUGAACUUUUCUUUAAUAGCCUUGGCUGACUCGAUUGGAUGCCCCAACCAAGGUAUCCUAAAGAAUGAGUUUUGGCAUGAGCCAAAUUUUUAAGAAAUUCAUAAGCCAUGUUGAUCAUUUGAGUGAAAUGAAAUUAUUUUAUUUAGUUGAAAUGAGUUUGAAACGUUAUGAAUCAUAAUACGAUGAACUAUUUUAAGUUGUCUCAAUUUACUCGACUUUAGAUAUUUUAGAUGAUGUUUGUUUACUCACUGAAUUUAUAUAAACUCACCACCCUCAUUUCCACUCAUUCCAGGAUCAGGACAGUCCGUAAAUAGCUGAUUACAUCGAGGGUUAUUAUUGGACUUGCCUCCUCAGAAAUUGUAGGUCCACAGCCUUUGUUACCUUUGGUCAUUCCGGGGCCCAUACGUCAUUGUAAAUUAAAUUACAUACUCUGGUUAUCUGUGUUACUGUAUGUAUGGAUUUAUUUUGCUUUUACGCUACAAAAAUUAUUUACGCAGAG
rnacentral:lncRNA from 1 species